GACGAACGCUGGCGGCGUGCCUAAUACAUGCAAGUCGAACGCAGUGGGGACGGGUGAGUAACACGUGGGUAUCCUCCCAUCAGAGGGGAUAACACUUGGACACAGGUGCUAAACCGAUACUGAUGGAUGGACCCGGGGUGCAUUAGCUGGUUGGUGAGGUAACGGCUCACCAAGGCCACGAUGCAUAGCCGCCCUGGGGGUGUGAUCGGCCAAACGGGAACUGGGACACGGCCCAGACUCCUACGGGAGGCAGCAGUAGGAAAUCUUCGGCAAUGGACGAAAUUCUGACCGAGCAACGCCGCGUGGGUGAAGAAGGUUUUCGGAUCGUAAAACUCUGUUGUUGGGGAAGCGGUAUCUAACCAGAAAGCCACGGCUAACUACGUGCCAGCAGCCGCGGUAAUUC
rnacentral:rRNA from 1 species